CUAAGGCCAACGGGAGAAGGGUUGUUAAGGAACUCGGCAAAUUGACCCCGUAACUUCGGGAGAAGGGGUGCUGCAGCAAUGCAGCCGCAGAGAAUCGGCCCAAGCAACUGUUUACCAAAAACACAGGUUUGUGCUAAAUCGAAAGAUGACGUAUACGAGCUGACGCCUGCCCGGUGCUGGAAGGUUAAGAGGAGAUGUGCAAGCAUUGAAUCGAAGCCCCAGUGAACGGCGGCCGUAACAAUAACGGUCCUAAGGUAGCGAAAUUCCUUGUCAGGUAAGUUCUGACCCGCAUGAAAGGCGUAAUGAUUUGGGCACUGUCUCAACAGCCCGCCCGGCGAAAUUGUAGUACCGGUGAAGAUGCCGGUUACCCGCGACAGGACGGAAAGACCCCAUGGAGCUUUACUGUAGCCUAAUAUUGGGUUUCGAUGUUGCAUGCACAGGAUAGAUGGGACACUGGGAAGUAGGUGCUUUGGCGCUUGUGGAGUGGCCGUUGGGAUACCAUCCUUGCGAUAUUGGAAUUCUAACCUGCGCCUUUGAAUCAAGGCGGGGGACAUUGUUAGGUGGGCAGUUUGACUGGGGCGGUCGCCUCCUAAAGAGUAACGGAGGCGUUCAAAGGUUCGCUCAGCUUGAACGGAAAUCAAGCAAAAGAGUGCAAACGCAGAAGCGAGCCUAACUGCGAGACUGACGGGUCGAGCAGUAACGAAAGUUGGAGUUAGUGAUCCGGUGGUAUGUGAGUGGAAAUGCCAUCGCUCAACGGAUAAAAGUUACCCUGGGGAUAACAGGCUGAUCUCCCCCAAGAGUCCACAUCGACGGGGAGGUUUGGCACCUCGAUGUCGGCUCAUCGCAUCCUGGGGCUGUAUUCGGUCCCAAGGGUUUGGCUGUUCGCCAAUUAAAGCGGUACGCGAGCUGGGUUCAGAACGUCGUGAGACAGUUCGGUCCCUAUCUGUCGUGGGCGCAGGAUAUUUGAUGGGAGCUGUUCCUAGUACGAGAGGACCGGAGCGGACGUACCUCUGGCGCACCAGUUGUUCUGCCAAGAGCAUAGCUGGGCAACUAUGUACGGAUCGGAUAAACGCUGAAAGCAUCUAAGCGUGAAGCCGACCCAAAGAUAAAAUAUCCCAUUGUUUCAAACAAGUAAGACCCCUUGAAGACUACAAGGUUGAUAGGCACGAUGUGUAAGUGGAGUGAUCCAUUCAGCAAGUGUGUACUAAUAGGUCGAGGGCUUGACGG
rnacentral:rRNA from 1 species